GGGUAGGCUCACACGUCAUACAAUGUCGGUACAGAGGGUUGCCAAGCCGCGAGGUGGAGCCAAUCCCUUAAAGCCGAUCGUAGUCCGGAUCGUAGCUGCAACUCGACUACGUGAAGUCGGAAUCGCUAGUAAUCGCAGAUCAGCAUGCUGCGGUGAAUACGUUCCCGGGUCUU
rnacentral:rRNA from 1 species